GACGAACGCUGGCGGCGUGCCUAAUACAUGCAAGUCGAACGCAGUGGGGACGGGUGAGUAACACGUGGGUAACAUGCCCAUCAGAGGGGAUAACACUUGGAAACAGGUGCUAAACCGAUACUGAUGGAUGGACCCGAGGUGCAUUAGCUAGGUGGUGAGGGAACGGCUCACCAAGGCCACGAUGCAUAGCCGACCUGAGAGGGUGAUCGGCCACACUGGGAUUGAGACACGGUCCAGACUCCUACGGGAGGCAGCAGUAGGGAAUCUUCGGCAAUGGACGAAAGUCUGACCGAGCAACGCCGCGUGAGUGAAGAAGGUUUUCGGAUCGUAAAGCUCUGUUGUUAGAGAAGCGUUAUCUAACCAGAAAGCCACGGCUAACUACGUGCCAGCAGCCGCGGUAAUUC
rnacentral:rRNA from 1 species